UACGGGGGGAGCAAGCGUUGUUCGGAUUUACUGGGCGUAAAGGGCGCGUAGGCGGUCAGCACAAGUCAGUUGUGAAAUCUCCGAGCUUAACUCGGAACGGUCAACUGAUACUGUGCGACUAGAGUGCGGAAGGGGCAACCGGAAUUCUCGGUGUAGCGGUGAAAUGCGUAGAUAUCGAGAGGAACACCUGCGGCGAAGGCGGGUUGCUGGGCCGACACUGACGCUGAUGCGCGAAAGCCAGGGGAGCGAACGGG
rnacentral:rRNA from 1 species